rnacentral:rRNA from 1 species
UACGGGGGGGGGCAAGCGUUGUUCGGAAUUACUGGGCGUAAAGCGCACGUAGGCGGCUUUGUAAGUUAGAGGUGAAAGCCUGGAGCUCAACUCCAGAACUGCCUUUAAAACUGCAUCGCUUGAAUCCAGGAGAGGUGAGUGGAAUUCCGAGUGUAGAGGUGAAAUUCGUAGAUAUUCGGAAGAACACCAGUGGCGAAGGCGGCUCACUGGACUGGUACUGACGCUGAUGUGCGAAAGCGUGGGGAGCAAACAGG